rnacentral:rRNA from 1 species
GACGAACGCUGGCGGCGUGCUUAACACAUGCAAGUCGAACGCUGAAGCUUGGUGCUUGCACUGGGUGGAUGAGUGGCGAACGGGUGAGUAAUACGUGAGUAACCUGCCCUUGACUCUGGGAUAAGCCUGGGAAACUGGGUCUAAUACUGGAUACGACAUGCCACUGCAUGGUGGUGUGUGGAAAGGGUUUUCCUGGUUUUGGAUGGGCUCACGGCCUAUCAGCUUGUUGGUGGGGUAAUGGCCUACCAAGGCGACGACGGGUAGCCGGCCUGAGAGGGUGACCGGCCACACUGGGACUGAGACACGGCCCAGACUCCUACGGGAGGCAGCAGUGGGGAAUAUUGCACAAUGGGCGGAAGCCUGAUGCAGCGACGCCGCGUGAGGGAUGACGGCCUUCGGGUUGUAAACCUCUUUCAGCACGGAAGAAGCGAGAGUGACGGUACGUGCAGAAGAAGCGCCGGCUAACUACGUG